rnacentral:rRNA from 1 species
AUUGAACGCUAGCGGGAUGCCUUACACAUGCAAGUCGAACGGAGUGGCGAACGGGUGAGUAAUGUAUCGGAACGGGCCCAGUCGCGGGGGAUAACUACGCGAAAGCGUAGCUAAUACAGCAUACUCUUGGAGCGGCCGAUUGCGGGUUAGCUAGUGGGUGGGGUAACGGCUCACCAAGGCGACGAUCCGUAGCUGAUUUGAGAGGACGACCAGCCACACUGGGAGUGAGACACGGCCCAGACUCCUACGUGAGGCAGCAGUGGGGAAUGUUGGACAAUGGGGGAAACCCUGAUCCAGCCAUCCCGCGUGUGCGAUGAAGGCCUUCGGGUUGUAAAGCACUUUUGGCAGGAAAGCGGUACCUGCAGAAUAAGCACCGGCUAACUACGUGCCAGCAGCCGCGGUAAUUC